GGAAUCAAGUUUCAAAAACACCAUAAUUCCCCGCCACAGCUCCAAGAUUAUUGCUUUGAUUUAAAACAAAUGCGCAGUUGAAGAACAAUGAACCAAACAAUAUCAUUGAACCAUUCAUUGGAAGGGUUAAAUGCUAUCAAUUAUAGAUCUAGAUUUCAACAAGAAACUGCAAACCUACACCUCUUUUUAACAUCAAAUUGGUACAUAAUUUUACGUAUAAAUAAGUUUCAUGGAUAAUAUAGUUUCGACAUUCUACUCUUUCCUAAAUCUGAAACUUUAACUUCUCAUACAUAAGGUUAAUGGAUAAUUAUGAAAAAAAUGGUACAUAAACCCGUUACAGAAAACGUAGUAAUGAAAGCAAAACAACAACUAAAACUUUAGCUGCAAAUUCAAAAACAAAGAUAUGGAAACAGAUCGAGGGCUUUAGAGUUACUUACUUGGGCCACUUGCGGACACCAAGUUCAGUAAGUUUGGACUCCGGAGGAUUCCUAACAACCUUAAUUCCAGACUUCUCAAUAGUCAAGGUCUCUGCUUUUACUAUUGGUUUUGCCAUACGCCUCAAGCCCACCUUUGUUCUUCUUCUUGCACUUGAAAAAGGAAGAGAAGCACCAAAAGAUAUAGAUGAGUCGAUACGUUGUUGACCCUUUUGGCUUUGAGGACCGAGCCUAGACUGGUUCAACAAUAUUAGUAAACUGGUGCUACUGCCACUCGCA
rnacentral:lncRNA from 1 species